rnacentral:rRNA from 1 species
UACGGAAGGUCCGGGCGUUAUCCGGAAUUAUUGGGUUUAAAGGGAGCGCAGGCGGGAGUAUAAGUCAGCUGUUAAAUAUCAGAGCCCAACUCUGUUAUGCAGUUGAAACUAUAUUUCUUGAGUACGCACAGGGAUGGUGGAAUUCAGGGUGUAGCGGUGAAAUGCUUAGAUAUCCUGAAGAACUCCGAUCGCGAAGGCAGCCAUCCGGAGCGUAACUGACGCUGAGGCUCGAAGGUGCGGGUAUCGAACAGG